rnacentral:rRNA from 1 species
AUAGCGUAUAUUAAAGUUGUUGCAGUUAAAAAGCUCGUAGUUGAACUUCAGGCCUGGCUGGGUGGUCUGCUUAACGGCAUGUACUGUCUGGCUGGGUCUUACCUCUUGGUGAGCCGGUGUGCCCUUUAUUGGUGUGCAUUGGGGAACCAGGACUUUUACCUUGAGAAAAUUAGAGUGUUCAAAGCAGGCCUAUGCCCGAAUACAUUAGCAUGGAAUAAUAAAAUAGGACGUGCGGUUCUAUUUUGUUGGUUUCUAGAGUCGCCGUAAUGAUUAAUAGGGAUAGUUGGGGGCAUUGGUAUUGAGUCGCUAGAGGUGAAAUUCUUGGAUUGACUCAAGACCAACUAUUG